rnacentral:misc_RNA from 1 species
GAUGAAGAACGUAGCGAAAUGCGAUACGUAAUGUGAAUUGCAGAAUUCAGUGAAUCAUCGAGUCUUUGAACGCACAUUGCGCCCCCUGGUAUUCCGGGGGGCAUGCCUGUCCGAGCGUCAUUGCUGCCCUCAAGCACGGCUUGUGUGUUGGGCCUCCGUCCUCCUCCCGGGGGACGGGCCCGAAAGGCAGCGGCGGCACCGCGUCCGGUCCUCGAGCGUAUGGGGCUUCGUCACCCGCUCUUGUAGGCCCGGCCGGCGCUUGCCGACACAUCAAUCUUUUUUCCAGGUUGGCCUCGGAUCAGGUAGGGAUACCCGCUGAACUUAAGCAUAUCAAUAAGCGGAGA